GCCCGGUUAGCAUAAUUAGUAAUGCAUCCGUUUUGUAAUCGGAAGACUAAGGGUGCAAACCCCUUACUGGGCU